rnacentral:misc_RNA from 1 species
GAAGGACUUGCAGAGAUUGUGAUGCUUCAAAAUAGUCUUAUGGGAGGAAGAACAGAUGGUCUUGAUCGAUACAGGAACUGGAGACUAGAUGUGGAUAACAUGUCCUAUGAGGAAUUGCUGGAACUUGGUGACAGAAUCGGAUAUGUCAACACAGGAUUGAGAGAAGACGAGAUAGCUCGAUGUGUUAGAAGAACCAAGCCCUUCUUUUUGAGUAAUUUAUCUCUUAUCCGCACAGAAUUGGAAAGGCAGUGCACCAUCUGUCAGGAGGAAUAUGAGGCUGAGGAUGAGAUGGGGAAGCUGGAUUGUGGACAUUUCUAUCACAUUCGUUGCAUAAAGCAGUGGCUGAGUCAAAAAAAUAGUUGCCCAGUUUGUAAAUCUGCAGCUAUGUCUAAUAGCUAGACAUCAAAAAACAACUUCUCCCCUCAUGAACCUUUUGGUCUGUUGUAUAGCUUCU